rnacentral:sRNA from 1 species
AUUUGUAAAAUCGACAUCGUGAUACCCACUCCCAGAAGUUGUUCUUCCCAUGGCAUAGGUGGAGUGUGUUACUCUUGGGGCUGGAAUGAGCAUGGCAUGUGCGGAGAUGGCACUGAAGCCAACGUCUGGGCCCCGAAGCCGGUGCAGGCUCUGCUGUCAUUGUCAGGACUCCUUGUGGGCUGUGGGGCUGGCCACUCCUUGGCCCUCUGCCAGCUGCCAGCUCACCCUGCAUUGGUCCAGGACCCCAAGGUCACCUACCUUUCCCCAGAUGCCACCAAGGACACUGAAUCUCAGGAAGCCAUGGACAAAGAGAGAAACUGGAAGGAAAGACAAUCAGAAACUUCAACCCAAAGCCAAUCUGACUGGUCCAGAAAUGGGGGACUGUGAUAGAGAAUCUUUAAUAAAGUGGCUUUUCUCACCAAAA